rnacentral:rRNA from 1 species
GGGGACGUAUCAAAGCGACCCAGGAAUGCUUGGGCGUGCCUCCAUCCACGCCGGCGUCGGCGGGCGUAUUUCGCCUCACAGUAGGUCGCCGCGACCCGUUGCUUUUGGGGACGUCGAAGGCCCGGACGGAUUGGUACCCUACCGGCUGGGGAUGCGGCUUCGGCUUCUCCUCUUGUCCGGUGGGCGAAACCGCCGGUGUCCUGGCUGCCCUGCGACGGUCGUAGAGACGAGCCCCUCCCAUUCGUGGGGGGCGGCUCUCGCGGCGUGCAAAAGGUCGGUGAUCCACCCGACCCGUCUUGAAACACGGACCAAGGAGUCUAACAUGUGUGCGAGUCAGUGGGCGCACUAAACCCAGAGGCGUAAUGAAAGUGACACGGGUUCGGCUGUCGCCUCGUGUGGCAGCCGGACUCAGGGCCGAUCCCUCACCGGUUGCCCUCGCCUCUCUCCCGCGUCUCGGUAAGCCGGGUGAGCUAUUUUCCCCGGCCUCUGCUGCGGGGCCCGGGGGGAGGCGGGGUGCGAUGGUGUCCGUAAAAAAGAGCCUGCUGUUGCAGGGGGGCGCAGGCCCGGGACUUGCCAGGACGCCGCGAGACUGUCACUUUGCUGUGAGGCUCCAGGGCCGAUCAGCGGGUCAUGCGUGCAGUCGGCAAGUACCAUGAGCAGACAUGUUGGGACCCGAAAGAUGGUGAACUAUGCCUGGCCAGGAUGAAGCCAGAGGAAACUCUGGUGGAGGUCCGUAGCGAUUCUGACGUGCAAAUCGAUCGUCGGAGCUGGGUAUAGGGGCGA